rnacentral:tRNA from 1 species
GCCUGGGUGGCUCAGUCGGUUGAGCGUCCGACUUCAGCUCGGGUCAUGAUCUCACGGUCUGUGAGUUCGAGCCCUGCGUCGGGCU